rnacentral:tRNA from 1 species
GCUGCCGUAGUUCAGUUGGUUAGAGCCCCUGCCUUACAAGCAGGUGGUCGCAGGUCCGAAUCCUGCCGGCAGCACAA